rnacentral:SRP_RNA from 1 species
GCUGGGCACGGUGGCAUGUGCCUGUAGUCCCAGCUACUCAGGAGGCUGAGGUGGGAGGAUCGCUUGAGCCCAGGAGUUCUGGGCUGUAAUGCGCUAUGCCAAUGGGGUGUCCACACUAAAUUCGGCAUCAAUAUGGUGACCUCCUGGGAGUGGGGGACCACCAUGUUGCCUAAGGAGGGGUGAACCAUCCCAGGUCAGAAAUGGAGCAGAUCAAAACUCCUGUGCUGAUCAGUAGUGGGAUAGCGCCUGUGAAUAGCAACUACACUCCAGCCUGGGCAAUAUAGCAAGACCCCAUCUCU